CUGUAUAGAAACAGGCUUGGUUAAAGGCAUACAAUUGUAUGAUGGUGUGUGUAAACUGCUUUUAACCUCUGGAAAAGAGGUAACUGCCUUCUAAAAUAACAUGUCAGCGAUGAAUUUGUAAAUUAUCCAUGAAGCCUACAGUGUAACUAUCCCAUUUGCUUAAAAGUGGCAUUUGUGAACCUCGUUCACCCGCUGCUGCUGUGUGAUUUUGCUUUGUAGCUAAGGGAAAAGAUGUGCGUGAGGAAGGUACUUCCGACUUCUGUGCCAUACAGACUCUCAAAUGAGCAGGUAAUGAUUUCCUGUGAGAACCUCGUGUCACCAGAGCCAAUGUCAAGCAAGAGCCACCAAAGAGGCUUGUUUACAGGAAGAAAUAUACUGCAUACGAGGAGAGAAACACAUCACAAUGUCAAGCGUAAUAGUACAUAUUAUAUAUUUCGCCUGUUGAUGUCACCCUUAGCCUACUCCUCCAGCAUUCGGAGUCCCCCAGCACACACACACACACACGCAGAUGGAUAACUUCGCCGUUCCUCCUGGGUUUCCUUUAUGAUCCUGGGAUCUCCCACUUUCCUCAUCAGACUUCAUCUAGCAACACAUGCGAACAGACCGCUCCUCUGCUCUCCUUUCUACCAGCGACACAGCAGCCUGCUACCACCCCGCACCACGACACCUCAACCAGGACUCUUCACCUUCAUCCUUCGCAGACUGGCUACGCACGACGAAGUCAUCGAGUGAUUUUCCAAACGGAUUCCCACCGGAAAGCUUGACAAGUGCAAUUACCAAGACAAGGAUUUCUGGGCUAUAUCGACUAUAGCCGCCGAGUUCAAAAGUUUGUUCACCGCUGUUGAUCCGUCCGUCUCAUCCGUGCCAUAAUGUCCGAGGUACUGCCUUACAGCGAGGGGAAAAUGAGCGGCUAUGGGGACACCGAGGCCAGUCAGAUAUCCUUUAGCUGCGGGCUACAGGACACCAAUUCGUUCUUCGGGGCGUCGCAAGCGAAAAGACCCCCAAAGCUGGGACAGAUCGGCAGAGCCAAGAGAGUGGUCAUCGAAGAUGACCGAAUAGACGAUGUCCUAAAGGGGAUGGCAGACAAGUCGUCACCUGGUGUUUAAAGAUGAACGACGCCUUGCAGACUUUUUAUUUUGAUCAACGAUUUAAAGCACUUGUCGGUUGUGCAUGUUCGAGGAUUGUAGGAGAAACGAUGGCACGAAGCGAAGACAAGGGGAAGGAAAUGAAUGGAAAGAAAUAUGUGAAGAUUGGAUGAGAAAGCAGAGGAAGAGCAAGACUCCAGAAAAGACAGAGAUUUAUCAUGGGGUUGCUGGCAAUUCUCCAAACGAAAACCCAUUUUAACUUGUGCUGCGCAGCGUGAUGUUGAGAUGGCGGACCCUGGCUCUGAUGGAUGAACUUGCCAUUACUUCACAACCAUCUUCCAAAAGCGCCGUAAGCAACACAAAACUACAAGUGGUGUCUGAAUCUCAUUUCAAGCUCUAUUUCUAUAGUUGUAUACAAUAGCCUUCCUAAGCUCGAAGACCGUAUUCCCCUUACACGCUUUGCAUUGUUGAUAACAAUCGGCGACAUCGCAUUCAAGGGAGCUGUCCUUUUCAGCACUGGUCGAACGUAGAGAAUGCAUUCCGAUUGCUGCUAAAGCUUUUUAAUACUGACCAAACAAACACUGUCCAGUAACUAGUAGAGACCCAUUGUAUGUAAAAAAAAAAAAAAGAUAAUAAUAUAUAUAUAUAAAUAUACACACACACACACACACACACCAAGGAUGGUGCAAUGUUAAUAUUUCCUUUCGUAGGCCUAUAUUCAUUUUGGCUCCAUCUGUAAAGAAUAAGCUAGUAAUGCAUAGUCCCCAGGUUGAAUUGAAUUAAAAUGAUACAUGGUGUUACAUUACCCCCCAUGGUUAACGAUGCAGGUCGGCACCUUCAUGAAGCCUACCGACACCUAUUCAUAGCUGUUUCACUUUUUACACACUCGAAAUAUCGAAGGAGGCGAGAUCGGCAAAUUAUGUUUGGAAAAAUAGUCAUGAAAUUGAUGGGGAAAUGUUUUAUUUAUUUCGAUUUUGCAAUUAUUCGUGUUUUUUUGUCUACUAUAAUUAAAAAGUCAUACUAUUUUCUCCAUCUAUUUGCAUGAACUUUCGCUCUGGUGCCAACACAGGUGCCACCACUCUUACCCUGGCACGCUUCUUUUUAACAAAAUUCAUAUUUGUAUUUUUAUAUCUAAACAAUUGUUAUUGAGAAAUUAUGUGCUAGUCUACCAUCUUACAAUUCAUCAACACAAAUGUGUGUACUAUAGAGAGGAUAUGCAGAUUGAGACCAUAUAAGUCUAACGGAGAAUCUAAGAUUUGGGUUUUGACUUUUCUCAUUCUAUAUCAUUUUUUAAAGACUAACUGAAUGUGUUUGGGGUUUUGCACACAUCAAUGUUAAACUAUUAUUGAGAAAUUGUAUCCUGUGACUUGAGCUUCGUUGAUGAAUUUGUUAGAAAAUAGCCAUUUUUUUUGGUAUAUUGCACUGUUUACGAGGAUCCUCAAAUAACACGUUGAAUUUGGACAGAUUUUGGACAUUAAAGUUGUUUUUUUAUUUCAUUUAUCUUGUACCAUUCUUCUAAGGAAACUCAAUAUGGUUUGUUGUGCAUGAAACCUUAAUAUUUCCAUUAAUGAAACAUUGUUUUACGAAGCAAAAAAAGCAACAGUGUCAUGACAUUCUAAGAAUGAGUCAUUGUAUAUUACGAUGCCAUUUUCACUGUAUUUGGUGAACAAAUAAAUGGUGAAAGAACAUGUCCAAUGUGGUCCUAUGGUAUUCAUUUCCCAAGAUCUCUCCAUCAUCACAGAGUACAAACAUUAACACAUGGCAGUUAAUACAUAAUGACAGCUGGUUUGGCUUUGGAUUACAACCACAUUGUUGGACAUAAAGUGGAUUACAGUAGAUCUCCAAGCUAUAGCUCAUAGUCUUUGAUGACACAACUAUAGGUUACUGUAUACCUGAUGACCAGAUGGUUCUGGUCAAAUGUAGUGCACCGCAACAUGGUGGGCAACACAGUGCAAGUGGAGAUUUUCCUACAAUAGUACGCUGGGG
rnacentral:lncRNA from 1 species